rnacentral:rRNA from 1 species
AUUGAACGCUGGCGGCAUGCUUUACACAUGCAAGUCGAACGGCAACAGGUUAAGCUGACGAGUGGCGAACGGGUGAGUAAUGCAUCGGAACGUGCCCGAUCGUGGGGGAUAACGCAGCGAAAGCUGCGCUAAUACCGCAUACGAUCUGAGGAUGAAAGCGGGGGACGGUAAGGCCUCGCGCGAUCGGAGCGGUCGAUGUUAGAUUAGGUAGUUGGUGGGGUAAAGGCUCAUCAAGCGAAAGAUAUGUAGCUGGUCUGAGAGGACGACCAGUCACACUGGGAAUGAGAAACGGCACAGACUGGUACGGGAGGCAGCAGAGGGGAAUUUUGGACAAUGGGCGAAAGCCUGAUCCAGCAAUGACGCGUGCAGGAAGAAGGCCUGCGGGUUGUAAACUGCUUUUGUACGGAGCGAAAAGGUUCUCUCUAAUACAGAGGGCUCAUGACGGUACCGUAAGAAUAAGCACCGGCUAACUACGUGCCAGCCGCCGCGGUAAGAC